rnacentral:lncRNA from 1 species
AAUUACUUUUCCCAAAGACUCUUGCUCACUUUUCCCAAACACUCUUCCUGUCUCUCCAACCUACGAAAUUUGUCUCUCUGUCUCUAACCCCAUAUCUAGAUCCGGCCAACGACGGUGACACAAACCAAUGGAGAGCUAUUUCCUUCAAAUCGCGGGUGAAGAUCUAUUUCUUUCGAAUCAUGGGUGAAGUCCUUCAAAUCAAAAAGCUUUUUAGAAGAAUUUACAGUGAAAUUUUCAUGAGAAAGCAUUAAUUUAGAGGAUUAGAUUGCUGGAUUUGUUUUCAUGAGGAAGAAACACACGGUCAUGAUUUGAAGGAAAUUUAGUCUGUGAUUUUUUGAAGGUAAUUCAGUUUUACUUUUAUUUUAAAAUUCAACACAGUGUUGAUUUGCACUUGCACAGGUUUCUUCCAUCAAUUGGGGUACUUAAAUUCCACAUGGACAUUGUUCUAUUUUUCCAUUAGGCUUUUUUUCCUUUCCUUUUAACAUUGGCCUUGUUCAAUUGAACUCUGCACUUAGUAAUUUUUUACAUAGCCAAUAUUGAUUUCGUUCUGGUUGCAUUACAUUUGUUCGAUGGUGGCAGGAAGGAAUAAAUAUAGCGAGGAACAUGACUAUUGGGAGAUUUUCCUCGACAUAACUCUACGUAAGGAUUAAAGAGAUUCGAAAGACAACGAGAAUGGAAAGAAAGGUGUCAAUAAAAUGUAGCAUUGAACUUCGAUGUAAUUGGACAGUGAUAAUUGUAUCUCUUUGUAUUUGUAUCUUGUAUGAUUUUACAUCGGUUGCACAAUCUACUGUACCAAUCGCCAUUUAUGAAUCUAUCCUAUUUCCUCUUUUUUUUUCUCUGUGUACUUAGUCUUUUACAAGAGAUCUAUGAGUUUCCAUGUUGCC